rnacentral:rRNA from 1 species
AUGGCCCGUCGUGCUUGCUUCAGAUUUGAGUCCUUUUGGCUAAAAUUCCUCCAUUUUCACACUACUGUCGAGCAUGCUUGGAAUAGGCCGGUUCAACAGCGCUACGCUUUUGCACGUUUGCAAAUCAAGCUCAGCAGGGUGGUGCACGACCUAAAGAUAUGGAGCAGAUCAUUGUUCAGUGACGCGAAGUCACAAUUCCACAUUGCCAGCGAGGUAAUUCUUCGUCUAGAUGUGGUGCAGGAGACAAGAACCCUUUCGGAAGCAGAGUUCAAGUUGCGAAAGUUGCUCAAGAUACGCCUGGUGGGGCUUGCGUCCAUUGAAAGGGCCCGAAGGAGGCAAGCUUCCAGGGUCCUCUGGCUGCGGGCAGGCGACGCCAGCACAAAGUUCUUCCAUGCAAAAUGUUGCUCCAGAAGACACAAGAACUUCAUCCAUACCAUUCAGAGUGAUGAUCAGUGUGCCAUGGCUCAUGGGGAUAAGGCACAGAUCAUUUACGAUCACUUCAGCAAGGUGAUGACAGCGGACACCGGUCGACGUGUGACCCUCAACUGGAGCGAGCUGCAGUUACCAAGGAUCCAAUCAGCUGGCUUGGAGAAUCCAUUCACGGAGGGUGAGGUCUGGGCAGCAAUCAUGCAAUCGCCAACGGAGAAGGCGCCGGGCCCCGAUGGUUUCAGUGGUACCUUUUUCAGAGCUUGUUGGUCGACCAUCAGCAACGACAUCAUGGCGGCUUUUCACCAGUUCUAUCACCUAGCCGGCGGUAAUUUGGCUGCUCUGAACACUGCCUUCGUGGCGCUGCUGCCGAAGAAGGAUGGGGCCAUGCGGAUGACAGACUUUCGCCCAAUUAGUCUGAUCCACUCGUUUGCUAAGCUGGUCACUAAGGUGUUGUCAAUUCGACUGUCCAAAGUAAUUCACACGAUCGUCUCCCCUGCACAGUCAGCUUUCCUGAAGACGAGGUGUAUACAAGUCAGCUUCCUUUAUGUUCAGAAUGGAGUUCAUGUGCUGCACCGCUCCAAAACCCCAGCUCUACUUUUGAAAUUGGACAUCUCCAAAGCGUUUGAUAGUGUGUCAUGGGACUACUUAUUGGAGCUACUGUAG